AAACCAACAGGGAUUCCCCUAGUAACGGCGAGUGAAGCGGGAACAGCUCAAAUUUGAAAGCUGGCCUUCUGGUCCGCAUUGUAAUUUGUAGAGGAUGCUUUUGACGCGGUACCUUCUGAGUUCCUUGGAACAGGACGCCUUAGAGGGUGAGAGCCCCGUACAGUUGGAUACCAAGUCUCUGUAUAGCACCUUCGACGAGUCGAGUAGUUUGGGAAUGCUGCUCUAAAUGGGAGGUAAAUUUCUUCUAAAGCUAAAUACCGGCCAGAGACCGAUAGCGCACAAGUAGAGUGAUCGAAAGAUGAAAAGCACUUUGAAAAGAGGGUUAAAUAGCACGUGAAAUUGUUGAAAGGGAAGCGCUUAUGACCAGACUUUUUCCUGGCGGAUCAUCCGGGGUUCUCCCCGGUGCGACUUCGCCUGGUUUAGGCCAACAUCGAUUCCCGCCGGGGGAUAAAGGCUUCGGGAAUGUGGCUCCCUUCGGGGAGUGUUAUAGCCCGUUGCGUAAUACC
rnacentral:rRNA from 1 species